rnacentral:rRNA from 1 species
UGCCAGCCGCCGCGGUAAUACGGAGGGUGCAAGCGUUAAUCGGAAUUACUGGGCGUAAAGCGCGCGUAGGCGGAUUGUUAAGUCGGAUGUGAAAGCCCAGGGCUUAACCUUGGAACUGCAUUCGAUACUGGUCAGCUAGAGUACAGUAGAGGCAAGUGGAAUUUCCUGUGUAGAGGUGAAAUUCGUAGAUAUCAGGAGGAACACCUGUGGCGAAGGCGGCCACCUGGACGGGUAUUGACGCUGAGACGCGAAAGCGUGGGUAGCAAACAGGAUUAGAUA